UACGUAGGGAGCAAGCGUUGUCCGGAUUUACUGGGUGUAAAGGGUGCGUAGGCGGGAUCGCCAGUCAGACGUGAAAUACCGAGGCUUAACCUCGGGGCUGCGUUUGAAACUGCGAUUCUUGAGUGAAGUAGAGGUAGGCGGAAUUCCUAGUGUAGCGGUGAAAUGCGUAGAUAUUAGGAGGAACACCAGUGGCGAAGGCGGCCUACUGGGCUUUAACUGACGCUGAGGCACGAAAGCAUGGGGAGCAAACGGG
rnacentral:rRNA from 1 species